GGGUGGUGGGUGAGUCGUUCAGCGAUGCGCGGCGGUUCAGCGGUGCGCGGCGGAUGCGUUAGAUAGAGGACUCCACGCGGCAACAGCAGCUAUGUUACAGCAGCGGUUUUGGCGUGAGUUGCACGCAGGCCGCAAACCAGGAACCAUGCGCAGCCAGGAGUAGCAGAAGCUGCUGCACGGGCUGCGCGUGGUCCCCAGUUGCGCCCUGCACUGCAGCUUUCACUCACAGACAGUAGCUGCUGUAACAUAGCAGGUGUCCCCAGCCCUGUGAACCGAUACACGCGCCGGCGCGGCGCGCACGCCGCCAGAUCUCCCCAAGCACCUUUACAUGUCACUCUGCCUUUCCAACACCCCGCCCGCCCGCGCCCCGCCCACCCUGGGCUACCACCCCCCCCCCCUUCGCUCUCUGCCCCCGCGCCCCCACCUCCGCGAUCUCCACGUUGGCUCCGUCCAGGGUGCCGAUGAUGAGCGAGCCGUUCAUGGUGAACUUCAUGUUGGACGUGCCCGACGCCUCCGUGCCUGUGUAAAUUGUUGCACGCGUGUGCGUGUUGUAAGUGCUGUACGUCUUGUUUUGCCAUGCUUGGGGGUGGGGUGCCUGUGCUCUGCCGUGUUUGGCGAGCUCCUCCCCUGACCCAGCGGAUUCUGGCACCCAAGACACCCCGUAUGACCCUCCACGCAUCUGCCCGCCCUUCCCACAGCUACCCUUCCCUUACCCUCCACCCAUUCCCGCAACCUCCACCCCAGCCCACCCUUCCCCGCCUUCCCACCCCCAAAACCAGCCCUCACCCGCGGUGGAGAUGUGCUGCGACAGCUCGGUGGCGGGGAUGAUGACCUCGGCGCUGGACACGUUGUAGUCGGGCAGGAACACCAGCUUGAGCAGGUCGCCCAUGUCGGGGUCCUGGUUGAUCUUGUCGCCCACGGCGCAGAUGAGCUUGAUGAUGCGCUUGGCCAUCUCGUAGCCGGGCGCCGCCUUGCCGCCG
rnacentral:lncRNA from 1 species